rnacentral:rRNA from 1 species
UAGAUGUCUAGCGGCUGACGGGUGAGUAACGCGUGAGCAAUCUGUCCCAGAAUGGGGGAUAACAGAUGGAAACAUCUGCUAAUACCGCAUAAGACCACGAGGUCACAUGGCCUUGAGGUAAAAGGAGCAAUCCGAUCUGGGGUGAGCUCGCGUCCGAUUAGCCAGUUGGCGGGGUAACGGCCCACCAAAGCGACGAUCGGUAGCCGGCCUGAGAGGGCGAUCGGCCACACUGGAACUGAGAGACGGUCCAGACUCCUACGGGAGGCAGCAGUGGGGAAUAUUGGGCAAUGGGGGAAACCCUGACCCAGCAACGCCGCGUGAGGGAAGAAGGUUUUCAGAUUGUAAACCUCUGUCCUUGGUGACGAAGGAAGUGACGGUAACCAAGGAGGAAGCCCCGGCUAACUACGUGCCAGCAGCCGCGGUAAUACGUAGGGGGCAAGCGUUGUCCGGAAUGACUGGGCGUAAAGGGCGUGUAGGCGGCCGAUUAAGUCUGGAGUGAAAGUCCUGCUUUCAAGGUGGGAAUUGCUUUGGAGACUGGUUGGCUUGAGUGCGGAAGAGGUAAGUGGAAUUCCCAGUGUAGCGGUGAAAUGCGUAGAGAUUGGGAGGAACACCAGUGGCGAAGGCGACUUACUGGGCCGUAACUGACGCUGAGGCGCGAAAGCGUGGGGAGCGAACAGGAUUAGAUACCCUGGUAGUCCACGCGGUAAACGAUGAAUGCUAGGUGUAGCGGGUAUCGACCCCUGCUGUGCCGCAGUAAACACAAUAAGCAUUCCGCCUGGGGAGUACGGCCGCAAGGUUGAAACUCAAAGGAAUUGACGGGGGCCCGCACAAGCAGCGGAGCAUGUCGUUUAAUUCGAUGCAACGCGAAGA